UACGUAGGUGGCGAGCGUUGUCCGGAUUUACUGGGCGUAAAGAGCGCGCAGGCGGUCGUACAAGUCGCGUGUGAAAGCCCCCGGCUCAACUGGGGAGGGUCACGCGAUACUGUUCGACUCGAAGGCAGGAGAGGGAAGUGGAAUUCCCGGUGUAGUGGUGAAAUGCGUAGAUAUCUGGAGGAACACCGGUGGCGAAGGCGGCAUCCUGGACCAAUUCUGACGCUGAGGAGCGAAAGCCAGGGGAGCAAACGGG
rnacentral:rRNA from 1 species